rnacentral:rRNA from 1 species
UACGUAGGGACCAAGCGUUGUCCGGAUUUACUGGGCGUAAAGAGCGCGCAGGCGGCCGAGUAAGUCGAAUGUGAAAGCCCCCGGCUCAACUGGGGAACGUCAUUCGAUACUGUUCGGCUCGAAGAUAGGAGAGGGAAGCGGAAUUUCAGGUGUAGUGGUGAAAUGCGUAGAUAUCUGAAGGAACACCAGUGGCGAAGGCGGCAUCCUGGACUGGUCCUGACACUCAGGAGCGAAAGCGUGGGGAGCGAUCCGG